rnacentral:tRNA from 1 species
GCCUGGGUGGCUCAGUUGGUUAAGUGUUGGCCUUUGGUUUGGGGUCAUGAUCUCACAGUCUGUGGGUUCAAGCCCCACACCAGGCU